rnacentral:rRNA from 1 species
UAUACGCGUGUGUGAAGAAGGCCUGAGGGUUGUAAAGCACUUUCAAUAGGAAGGAAUACCUAUCGGUUAAUACCCGGUAGACUGACAUUACCUAUACAAGAAGCACCGGCUAACUCCGUGCCAGCAGCCGCGGUAAUACGGAGGGUGCAAGCGUUAAUCGGAAUUACUGGGCGUAAAGCGUGCGUAGGCGGUUAUUUAAGUCAGAUGUGAAAGCCCUGGGCUUAACCUGGGAACUGCAUUUGAUACUGGAUGACUAGAGUUGAGUAGAGGAGAGUGGAAUUUCAGGUGUAGCGGUGAAAUGCGUAGAGAUCUGAAGGAACACCAGUGGCGAAGGCGGCUCUCUGGACUCAAACUGACGCUGAGGUACGAAAGCGUGGGUAGCAAACAGGAUUAGAUACCCUGGUAGUCCACGCCGUAAACGAUGUCAACUAACCGUUGGGUUCUUUAAGAACUUAGUGGUGGAGCUAACGUAUUAAGUUGACCGCCUGGGGAGUACGGCCGCAAGGCUAAAACUCAAAUGAAUUGACGGGGGCCCGCACAAGCGGUGGAGCAUGUGGUUUAAUUCGAUGCAACGCGAAGAACCUUACCUACCCUUGACAUGUAGCGAAUCCUUUANAG